UCCCCAGUGGUCCAGUGGGUAAGACUCUGUGCUCACAACGCAGGGGGCCCGGGUUCGAUCCCUGGUCGGGGAA